CUCGCGUGUCGUGUCAGCAGCCGCGGUAAUACGUAGGGCGCAAGCGUUAUCCGGAAUUAUUGGGCGUAAAGAGCUCGUAGGCGGUUUGUCGCGUCUGCUGUGAAAUCCCGAGGCUCAACCUCGGGCCUGCAGUGGGUACGGGCAGACUAGAGUGCGGUAGGGGANAUUGGAAUUCCUGGUGUAGCGGUGGAAUGCGCAGAUAUCAGGAGGAACACCGAUGGCGAAGGCAGAUCUCUGGGCCGUAACUGACGCUGAGGAGCGAAAGGGUGGGGAGCAAACAGGCUUAGAUACCCUGGUAGUCCACCCGUAAACGUUGGGAACUAGUUGUGGGGUCCAUCCACGGAUUCCGUGACGCAGCUAACGCAUUAAG
rnacentral:rRNA from 1 species